GCAUAUCAAUAAGCGGAGGAAAAGAAACCAACAGGGAUUGCCCCAGUAACGGCGAGUGAAGCGGCAACAGCUCAGAUUUGGAAUCUGGCCCCCAGGGCCCGAGUUGUAAUCUGGAGAGGAUGCUUCUGGCGCGGCGCCUUCCGAGUUCCCUGGAACGGGACGCCGGAGAGGGUGAGAGCCCCGUACGGUUGGACGCCUAGCCUUUGUGAAGCUCCUUCGACGAGUCGAGUAGUUUGGGAAUGCUGCUCAAAAUGGGAGGUAAAUUUCUUCUAAAGCUAAAUACCGGCCAGAGACCGAUAGCGCACAAGUAGAGUGAUCGAAAGAUGAAAAGCACUUUGAAAAGAGGGUCAAACAGUACGUGAAAUUGUUGAAAGGGAAGCGCCCGUGGCCAGACUUGUGCCCCGCGGACCACCCGGCGCCCUCAGCGCCGGUGCACUCCGCGGGGCGCAGGCCAGCAUCGGUUUUCCUAGGGGGAUAAAGGCGGCGGGGAACGUGGCUCCUUCGGGAGUGUUAUAGCCCGUCGUGCCAUGCCCCUGGGGGGACCGAGGACCGCGCUUCGGCAAGGAUGCUGGCGUAAUGGCCACCGGCGACCCGUCUUGAAACACGGACCAAGGAGUCAAGCAUUGGGGGCGAGUGUCUGGGUGCCAAACCCGCACGCGAAAUGAAAGUGAACGCAGGUGAGAGCUUCGGCGCAUCAUCGACCGAUCCUGAUGUUCUCGGAUGGAUUUGAGUAAGAGCCUUACCGCUUGGACCCGAAAGAUGGUGAACUAUGCCUGUAUAGGGUGAAGCCAGAGGAAACUCUGGUGGAGGCUCGCAGCGGUUCUGACGUGCAAAUCGAUCGUCAAAUAUGGGCAUGGGGCGAAAGACUAAUCGAACCAUCUAGUAGCUGGUUACCGCCAAGU
rnacentral:rRNA from 1 species